GAAGUUGCGGAUGCUGUGGCUGAACAUAGAGUCCAGGUAGCCACUCCAGGCACGGGCCACGGCGGCGCCACCGAUGAUGUAUUCGAGGAGAACAUUCCAGCCGAUGAGGAAGGCCCACAGCUCGCCCAUGGAUACGUAGGUGAACAGAGUCUCACUGUCACCCAGACUGGAGUGCAGUGGCAUGAACUCGGUUCACUGCAACCUCUGCCUCCUGGGUUCAAAGGAUUCUCCUGCCUCAGCCUCCUGAGUAGCUGGGAUUACAGGCGCACAGAGUUUCACUUUACUCGUCCAGGCUGGAGUGCAGUGGUGUCAUCAACCCUUACUGCAUCCUGUAACUCCUGGGCUCAAGAGAUCUUCCUGCCUCAGCCUCCCAAGUAGCUGGGACUAUAGGCUGUAACUACCAUGCCUGGCGUCAACCAGAAUAUUACGACAGCCUGCUGCUUCUAGUACUGAAGAUCCAGGGGAGAGCUGGGCCCUGCACCUGCCAGGAUGGAGAGGAGCCUUCGGAAAUGCAGUUUCUCUGGCCUGGUUUCUCAACCCAUCCCUUUUUCUACCAGAAACCU
rnacentral:lncRNA from 10 species